rnacentral:rRNA from 1 species
GACGAACGCUGGCGGCGUGCCUAAUACAUGCAAGUCGAGCGGAUCUUCAUUAGCUUGCUUUUGAAGAUCAGCGGCGGACGGGUGAGUAACACGUGGGCAACCUGCCUGUAAGACUGGGAUAACUUCGGGAAACCGGAGCUAAUACCGGAUAAUCCUUUUCCUCUCAUGAGGAAAAGCUGAAAGACGGUUUCGGCUGUCACUUACAGAUUGGCCCGCGGCGCAUUAGCUAGUUGGUGAGGUAACGGCUCACCAAGGCGACGAUGCGUAGCCGACCUGAGAGGGUGAUCGGCCACACUGGGACUGAGACACGGCCCAGACUCCUACGGGAGGCAGCAGUAGGGAAUCUUCCGCAAUGGACGAAAGUCUGACGGAGCAACGCCGCGUGAGCGAUGAAGGCCUUCGGGUCGUAAAGCUCUGUUGUCAGGGAAGAACAAGUACCGGAGUAACUGCCGGUACCUUGACGGUACCUGACCAGAAAGCCACGGCUAACUACGUGCCAGCCGCCGCUGUAAAAC